GACGAACGCUGGCGGCGUGCUUAACACAUGCAAGUCGAACGGAAAGGCCCUGCUUUUGUGGGGUGCUCGAGUGGCGAACGGGUGAGUAACACGUGAGUAACCUGCCCUUGACUUUGGGAUAACUUCAGGAAACUGGGGCUAAUACCGGAUAGGAGCUCCUGCUGCAUGGUGGGGGUUGGAAAGUUUCGGCGGUUGGGGAUGGACUCGCGGCUUAUCAGCUUGUUGGUGGGGUAGUGGCCUACCAAGGCUUUGACGGGUAGCCGGCCUGAGAGGGUGACCGGCCACAUUGGGGCUGAGGUACGGCCCAGACUCCUACGGGAGGCAGCAGUGAGGAAUAUCGCACAAUGGGCGGAAGCCUGAUGCAGCACCGCCGCGUGCGGGAUGACGGCCUUCGGGUUGUAAACCGCUUUCGCCUGUGACGAAGCGUGAGUGACGGUAAUGGGUAAAGAAGCACCGGCUAACUACGUG
rnacentral:rRNA from 1 species